rnacentral:rRNA from 1 species
GGGAAACCGAGUCUUAAUUGGGCGUUAAGUUGCAGGGUAUAGACCCGAAACCCGGUGAUCUAGCCAUGGGCAGGUUGAAGGUUGGGUAACACUAACUGGAGGACCGAACCGACUAAUGUUGAAAAAUUAGCGGAUGACCUGUGGCUGGGGGUGAAAGGCCAAUCAAACCGGGAGAUAGCUGGUUCUCCCCGAAAGCUAUUUAGGUAGCGCCUCGUGAAUUCAUCUCCGGGGGUAGAGCACUGUUUCGGCUAGGGGGCCAUCCCGGCUUACCAACCCGAUGCAAACUGCGAAUACCGGAGAAUGUUAUCACGGGAGACACACGGCGGGUGCUAACGUCCGUCGUGAAGAGGGAAACAACCCAGACCGCCAGCUAAGGUCCCAAAGUCAUGGUUAAGUGGGAAACGAUGUGGGAAGGCCCAGACAGCCAGGAUGUUGGCUUAGAAGCAGCCAUCAUUUAAAGAAAGCGUAAUAGCUCACUGGUCGAGUCGGCCUGCGCGGAAGAUGUAACGGGGCUAAACCAUGCACCGAAGCUGCG